rnacentral:sRNA from 12 species
CCGAGAUAGGCGUACAAAUCUUGCCACUGGCAUUUCCCUGGACGUUAGCGAUGAUGGGCAACCUAGCGACGACGCUCGGCGUGUAGAGGUGGUGAAUUCCGAUUCGAAGGGAAACCACCCGCAC